rnacentral:misc_RNA from 1 species
UUUCCGUAGGUGAACCUGCGGAAGGAUCAUUACCGAGUGAGGGCCCUCUGGGUCCAACCUCCCACCCGUGUUUUUCGUACCUUGUUGCUUCGGCGGGCCCGCCGCACGGCCGCCGGGGCGCUACUGCCCACUGGUCCGCGCCCGCCGUAGACACCAUUGAACGCUGUCUGAAGAUUGCAGUCUGCGCAAUUAGCUAAAUAAGUUAAAACUUUCAACAACGGAUCUCUUGGUUCCG